UACGAAGGGAGCUAGCGUUGUUCGGAAUCACUGGGCGUAAAGCGCACGUAGGCGGAUUUGUCAGUCAGGGGUGAAAUCCCGGGGCUCAACCUCGGAACUGCCUUUGAUACAGCAAGUCUUGAGUUCGAGAGAGGUGGGGUGGAAUUCCUAGUGUAGAGGUGAAAUUCGUAGAUAUUAGGAAGAACACCGGUGGCGAAGGCGGCCCACUGGCUCGAUACUGACGCUGAGGUGCGAAAGCGUGGGGAGCAAACAGG
rnacentral:rRNA from 1 species